rnacentral:tRNA from 1 species
GAAGGUAUAGCUCAGUGUUAGAGUGUGCGCUUAGCAUGCGUGAGGCCCUGGGUUCAAUCCCUAGUACCGCCA